CUUCGCGUUAGAUGAACCUUUUUUUCUGAAAUUAAAAGGAAAAGCGCACAAAAAAGGAAAAAAAGGAAAAAAAAAAAGAAAAAAAUUAAUUGUCUCAGUCAGAACGUCCAUUGUGGUUAAUGGCUGGAAACCCAAUUAAGAAAAUGAAACAUUGGUCAACAUGCAGAUACACACAGGAUGUUGAGCAAACACUGAACCUAAGCUCUACAAAGUCCCGGGCAUUAGAUAAAAACCCAUGGUGGCAGAGCCUAGACAUACCUGGCUAUCAGGUGAGUUGGACCAAUACCCRCCCCAUCGACCCCUCCCCUAAUCAGGGCUUCUGACAGAAUGCCAAGAAACAGUUCAAAUUAUGCAGGACAAUGCGGAUUAGUAUAACUUAAG